rnacentral:misc_RNA from 1 species
GCAAACCAGUAAACAAACCGAAGAGGUCAUAAUACAUUAUCUGAGGAUGUUUUGGUGCUUCACUGUGAUCUGUAAAUAGUAGCAUUUCUAGAAGAGGAGAAGGAAAAAGUGAUCCACCUGGAACUGAAAAAUAAUUUCACAAGUCAGGGCUAUGUUGGAGAAUUGUAUGAUUAACACAUAUGUGUCUAAAAUUCGCGUCUUAACAUGGUCAAAGCAAAAUGUUGGCCAGCAGAAUCUUUUUUCACCGCUAGGCUAAGCAUACACUUGUGCUAAAGUCCAUCAAUGAAUUCGUACAUAUUUGAUAUCCU